CUAUCAGGGAAAGGCAAUCUGGUUUGUUUUGCCAUAGGACAAAUAGAACAAGGAAAAGGUUGUUUAGCAGCAAAAGAAAAAGGUAAACCAGAAAUAUGUUUCAUAUUAGCAAAAGAAGUGUAUGCUAAUCUCAAAUGCCAAAUAUAGUUCAUAUCAGCAAUAGCAGCAUUAUUACAACCGGAAGAGUGUACAAUUGAGCUAAAAUGUUUGCUAUCAGAAACAACAUCAUCAUUACAAACAUUNNNN
rnacentral:lncRNA from 1 species